rnacentral:rRNA from 1 species
GAACGAGAAAGUGGAGCAAUCCAUGAGUAAAGUGGCGACCGGAGUGAGUAACACGUGACUAACCUACCUCCGAGUGGGGAAUAACUCCGGGAAACCGGGGCUAAUACCGCAUAACAUCGCAAGAUCAAAGCAGCAAUGCGCUUGGAGAGGGGGUCGCGGCUGAUUAGCUCGUUGGCGGGGUAACGGCCCACCAAGGCGAAGAUCGGUAUCCGGCCUGAGAGGGCGCACGGACACACUGGAACUGAAACACGGUCCAGACUCCUACGGGAGGCAGCAGUGGGGAAUUUUGCGCAAUGGGGGAAACCCUGACGCAGCAACGCCGCGUGGAGGAUGAAGCCCUUUGGGGCGUAAACUCCUUUCGACCGGGACGAUUAUGACGGUACCGGUGGAAGAAGCACCGGCUAACUCUGUG